rnacentral:rRNA from 1 species
AGGAUGAUCCGCCACACUGGAACUGAGACACGGUCCAGACUCCUACGGGAGGCAGCAGUGGGGAAUUUUGGACAAUGGGGGUAACCCCGAUCCAGCCAUGCCGCGUGAGUGAAGAAGGCCUUCGGGUUGUAAAGCUCUUUCAGCCGGGAAGAAAACGCAUGGGUUAAUACCCUGUGUGGAUGACGGUACCGGAAUAAGAAGCACCGGUUAACUACGUGCCAGCAGUUGCGGUAAUACGUAGGGUGCGAGCGUUAAUCGGAAUUACUGGGCGUAAAGCGUGCGCAGGCGGUUUUGUAAGACAGGCGUGAAAUUCCCGGGCUUAACCUGGGAACUGCGUUUGUGACUGCAAGGCUAGAGUACGGCAGAGGGGGGUGGAAUUCCACGUGUAGCAGUGAAAUGCGUAGAGAUGUGGAGGAACACAAAUGGCGAAGGUAGCCCCCUGGGUCGAUACUGAUGCUCAUGCACGAAAGCGUGGUAGUAAACAGGAUUAGAUAUCCUGGUAGUCCACGCCCUAAACGAUGUCAACUAGGUGUUGGGAGGGUAAAACCUUUUAGUACCGGAGCUAACGCGUGAAGUUGACCGCCUGGGGAGUACGGCCGCAAGGUUAAAACUCAAAGGAAUUGACGGGGACCCGCACAAGCGGUGGAUGAUGUGGAUUAAUUCGAUGCAACGCGAAAAACCUUACCUACCCUUGACAUGCCAAGAACUUUCCAGAGAUGGAUUGGCGCCCGAAAGGGAACUUGGACACAGGUGCUGCAUGGCUGUCGUCAGCUCGUGUCGUGAGAUGUUGGGUUAAGUCCCGCAACGAGCGCAACCCUUGUCGUUAAUUGCCAUCAUUUAGUUGGGCACUUUAACGAGACUGCCGGUGACAAACCGGAGGAAGGUGGGGAUGACGUCAAGUCCUCAUGGCCCUUAUGGGUAGGGCUUCACACGUCAUACAAUGGUCGGUACAAAGGGUCGCCAAGCCGCGAGGUGGAGCCAAUCCCAGAAAGCCGAUCGUAGUCCGGAUCGCAGUCUGCAACUCGACUGCGUGAAGUCGGAAUCGCUAGUAAUCGUGGAUCAGAAUGUCACGGUGAAUACGUUCCCGGGUCUUGUACACACCGCCCGUCACACCAUGGGAGCGGGUUCCGCCAGAAGUAGGUAGCCUAACCGCAAGGAGGGCGCUUACCACGGCGGGGUUCGUGACUGGGGUGAAGUCGUAACAAGGUA